rnacentral:lncRNA from 1 species
CAUCUCUAAAUAAAUAAAUAAAGUGGGAAUAAAAUGGUAAAUAUUGAACAGAGUAGAAUAGAUGUUUGAGUGUGGGUGUAUGGGAGAAUAGAGGAUAAGGCUAAAGAGGGAAAAUAAAUAAGUGCAUUCAGGUGUGUAUGACUGAUGUGUGUAACUGAGGAGUGUGGCUAACUUUACCCUACUGCUCUAACGUAGUGUUCAACAUACAUUAGUCAAUAGACCAAUUGCUCUCUAGUUUGUUCGAAAGAUAGAACCUUUGGCUUCCAGCACUGUUCAGUUCGGUGGUCAUGAUAUCUUACAUGUGGAGAACUUAGUCAAAAUUAUUAAAAAUUCCUGUCUCACAGCAACCCCUAAAACAUGCAGGCUUAGGCGUUGCCCUAUCUGACAGCUUAGGGAACAGAGGGCAGGAGAUUAACACCAUUUGUGGGGCUGCCCUAUGCCAGGACUGGGCUUGGGACUUCAAGGAUGUGGUCAUGUUUAAAGUUCUCAGUGUCUACAAGAUGAUUGUUGCAUUGCUGCUUUAUGGAGGAGGGACCAGAGAGGCAGGCAGUUCAGCUGUUGUUGGCCCAAGCUUGACUGGCCGUGGAAUACCAGCCCCUUACUGCUAGCCCAGCGUGGGUCCCUAUGUCCCCAAAGCCCACAGCAGAAUUUCUGGCGUGGAUUACAGAGUGUCCUUGGGAGAAUGACUAUGACAGAAGGAGCUGGAUACAGUUCUCUUGCAGGAUCUCCUUCCCAGCCUUCAGAAAUUGCCGGUCUGGGAGUUGGGGGCAAGGAGAAGAUCCUGCAACCCAGUGAUUCCAUGGAAAGCAGAAAGAAGGACAUAAAGAAACGGAUACUUGGUGACAUCUUUGACUCACUGGAUCAAACCUUGCCUGAAGCUCACAUUUCUGAAAUUUCCAGAUACAAGAACAAAUACUUCCUCUUUAUUGUUUUACUAGAUUUGAGACAAGCUUUAAGUUUCUCAGACUCUUCCUCUUCCUAACAGAUUUAUCAGAAGCUGAAAGCUCUGAUCUUGUUGGGAUGCGGAUCGUGUCAGGAGAAGGCUUACUUUGCACGCUUUUCUUAGUCUGGUUGCCUAACUCAAGAACCUCGGCAUGGCUCUGUUACUUCUCUACUCAGACAAGCAUCCCUGCAGACACUCACUAGGCUAACUCUGUCUUUAUUUUUAGAAUUAGACCUUUACGAGAAGCACAGUUUUGUCUUCAGUUUCCUCUCCCCCCACCCGGAAUGGCCUGAGCCGAAGCCAGCUCCCUCCGAGAAGUCAUUACCGCCUGACUUGCGUUUGAUAUUUAGACACCUUGGUCACAACAUCUUGCAUUCUCUCGGGAUGCUGAUUUCUAACUGCUCUUUGGCCUUUCCUGCAUUGGUCCUCCUCAGGCAGGGGAUCCCUGCUCUUCUAUAUUAAUGCUGGCUCCCCGUCCCCUGUCCACC